GGAGAGGUGCCAGAGUGGCCGAAUGGGGCAGACUCGAAAUCUGUUGAACAGUUACGCUGUUCCGAGGGUUCGAAUCCCUCUCUCUCCU
rnacentral:tRNA from 1 species